CUACGGGAGGCAGCAGUGGGGAAUCUUGCACAAUGGGCGAAAGCCUGAUGCAGCAACGCCGCGUGCGGGAAGAAGGCCCUAGGGCUGUAAACCGCUUUCAGUAGGGAAGAAAAUGACGGUACCUACAGAAGAAGGACCGGCCAACUACGUGCCAGCAGCCGCGGUAAUACGUAGGGUCCGAGCGUUAUCCGGAAUCAUUGGGCGUAAAGAGCUCGUAGGCGGUUCAGCAAGUCGGCUGUGAAAGUUCGAGGCUCAACCUCGAAAUUGCAGUCGAUACUACUGUGACUCGAGUCCGGUAGAGGAGAAUGGAAUUCCCGGUGUAGCGGUGAAAUGCGCAGAUAUCGGGAGGAACACCAGUAGCGAAGGCGGUUCUCUGGGCCGGCACUGACGCUGAGGAGCGAAAGCGUGGGGAGCAGACAGGAUUAGAUACCCUGGUAGUCCACGCCGUAAACGUUGGAUACUAGGUGUGGCGUCCCGAUUAACGGUCGCCGUGCCGAAGCUAACGCAUUAAGUAUCCCGCCUGGGGAGUACGGCCGCAAGGCUAAAACUCAAAGGAAUUGACGGA
rnacentral:rRNA from 1 species